rnacentral:ribozyme from 13 species
UUUUUUUUUAAUUUUUUUUUUUUUGAAGGAUCAAAAAACAAUAUUAUUCUUUUUGUUUUUCCAUUUUCCAACCCCUCUUUCAAAGACCAAACGAACAAUUUUUUUUAAAAACUAUUUACACCAUGUGGUGAAUCAAGGUGUUGAUC